ensembl:snoRNA Small nucleolar RNA U109
UUGCAUGUUUUGGCUUUGGGCUCCUCUCCUUUUCUGUGGGAGUGGACACUUGAAACAUGCUAGAUUAAAACUUUGAAAGGAGUUAUCAGGGCCACCAGUCUUCAAGCACAGGCUGAGUCGGUAGUAUAAAACUCCUACAUUC